rnacentral:rRNA from 1 species
AGCGAACGCUGGCGGCAGGCCUAACACAUGCAAGUCGAACGAACUCUUCGGAGUUAGUGGCGGACGGGUGAGUAACACGUGGGAACGUGCCUUUUGGUUCGGAAUAACUCAGGGAAACUUGUGCUAAUACCGAAUGUGCCCUUCGGGGGAAAGAUUUAUCGCCAUUAGAGCGGCCCGCGUCUGAUUAGCUAGUUGGUGAGGUAACGGCUCACCAAGGCGACGAUCAGUAGCUGGUCUGAGAGGAUGACCAGCCACACUGGGACUGAGACACGGCCCAGACUCCUACGGGAGGCAGCAGUGGGGAAUCUUGCGCAAUGGGCGAAAGCCUGACGCAGCCAUGCCGCCUGAAUGAUGAAGGUCUUAGGAUUGUAAAAUUCUUUCACCGGGGACGAUAAUGACGGUACCCGGAGAAGAAGCCCCGGCUAACUUCGUG